UCAUGGGUUAUAUGAUUUUAUGCAGUGUUUGCACUACUGUUAUUAUUGGUGGCCGUGAAGUAAAGGCCGAGGAUGAUUCUAGUGGCGAUAUUACAAGCUCUUCUUGGCUUGGCAAUGAUAAUUCAGGUUACUCCAGCAAAUUCUUGAAAAAGCGACAAGCAAAGGAUUUAGAUCCGAUCAAACAAGCUUCGCUAGAGAACAUACUAAGAGAGAACUUGAAGGCAUGUGCAGCUCACCACGGGGAUUCGACUUUCAAUGCUGCCAUCAG